rnacentral:lncRNA from 1 species
UAGACUUCAGUGCUACAGACUUGAUCUUAUUUUGAGGCUCAUCUUCCUCAAGUUCUAUCUCAUGACUUUUGAGUGAACUGACGAGUUCCUCAAGGCUGAUAUUGUUCAGAUCUUUUGAUAACUUUAAUGUUGUGACCAUUGGUCUCCACUUCUUUGGCAAGCUUUUGACUAUCUUUUUGACAUGAUCUGCAGUUGUGUAGCCCUUGUCCAGAACUUUGAU